rnacentral:lncRNA from 1 species
CACACACACACACACGCACGCACACACAAGCACUCAUGUUCUAAAGAGAGAGGUCUGAGUCCGAAGUUGCUGCUGCUGGGAGCUUGAGCUGAGAUGGACUGGUCUUCAUGGGCGCCCAAGGCGCUGGGUGCAGCUUUCCCCGAGACCCCCAGAUGGAAAGGAGGGAAGGAGGAACCCCACACACUCGCCUUUUGCGAGAAGAUCGGCGCGCACCCCAGAGUGCCCCAAGCCUUUGGAAUCUGCCUGCUGAGCGGAGCGCGCGAGCGUGGUGGACAGGUCCCGAACUUGGCCAGCGGGCUUUCUUGGCAACUUGCUUUGCGCAGUUCUCCAUGGAACCCUGGACCCACUGUGCUCCCGGCGCCUUGCCUUUUUUUUUCUUUUUCUUUCUCUCACUGUCUCUUUUUAAAUUUAUGAACUCGAAAUGAAGCGGAAAGCAGAUAUGCGCGUCAGCAUACUUUGGCGGGGAUCAUUUUACUUCCUAUCAUCAACAAAAAUAGCCAGAAUUAUAUUGAAACUCAUGCGAUAACUACAGAUGAUCAUUUUAUUCAUCUUUGGAUGUGUUCGUUUUUCCAUUUUUUGGUGAAUUUCUGGACACUGAUGAUAAACCACGACAGAAUACUUUUAUGUACUGUGCCUCCUCCUAAACAUUUUUCAGACACCUCAUUAUGUAACCUGCAGCUCAUAAUGAAUGCAUAACAUGUGUAUCAUAUUAAUAGAGUUCUUCUAAAGAGAUCUCCUACGUUUUUAUUUUCAAGUAGUUCUUCAUGUGGGGGAUGGUCAGCGGGAGAUGGCACUUCAUAAGAUCUGCGGUGGUCACCCCAGUCAUCAUCCGACGUGUUGCACCAGUCUGUGGCACUUCAUAAGGUCUGCAGUGGUCACCCCAGUCAUCAUCCGAUGUGUUGCACCAGUUUGUGGCACUUCAUAAGUUCUGCGGUGGUCACCCCAGUCAUCAUCCGACGUGUUGCACCAGUGUGUGUUGCUGUUUGAGCCGUGCUGCCGACCCCUUCCAGGGCAUCUGCCAUGGGCACCUCCUCCAGCCCGUGCACUAAGACUCAAGAGAGUCGAAGAACCAGGGAAUCGUUGUAAUAACAAGCAUUCUGAAUUGCAUCGUACUGUGUACUAGCAGGAGUAUUCGGGAACUUCUGUUGCUGGAAACACGGGAGAGCAUUCUGCCCGAAGGCCGCACUGCCAUUUCUCCUUUGAGGUAGAACAUCACCUUGGUGCAGAGCACUCCAUGAGGUCUCCUCCCAGAGCCUUCCCGGUGGGAGCUUACAGGAAAUAUGGGAGAUAGAGGAAAAGACAAAAUGACUCCAUGAGGAAAUACCCAGACACGCCCAGAAGAUGAAAUGUGGUCUUCAUCAAUGACUGCACGUCAUUGAUAAAGAAGCUGUGGUAGAUUAGGAGCAACCUAAGGAAAGCAACAAGGUACAAUGAAUGGGCCUUGACUGGAUCCUGAAUGGUUAAGCCAGCUAAAGAAAAUGUUUGGAGCAACCGAGUAAAUUUGAACGUGGACUAGAUAUUAUAUAAGAUGAAGAUUCAUUGAAAUGGAAACCUAGAGCUUAUUAACUGAAAAAAAAAUGGUUAUAAAAUUAUACGUAAAAAGUCAUUUCAUUUUAGGUAUGCAAGUGUAUAUAUAGAUAGAAAAUAUCUGAAUUAUAUUCAAUAAUGUGUUUCCUGCACUAAUUUCUGGAUGGUAGAGACAUGUAUUUUAAUUAUU